rnacentral:misc_RNA from 1 species
UUUUUUUUUUUUUUUCUGUUCUUUGAUUUGCAUUUCUAUUCUCUCUUUUCUUUUAAAGAUUUUUUUUAUAAAUUUUUUCUGUUUUUUUUUGUCCUGUUUGAUGUGUUAAAUCUUGUUCGAGCUGAAACUUUAUUUUUGUAUUUGUUUGAGAUUCUCACUGUAUUGUGGUGUUAUUAUUAUUACUAUUUUAAUCUUUUGGGUGGGUGUGGGGGGAAGGAGGAGGCAUGCAAUCGAGUUCUAGAACUUCUGUUUGGUCGGUGAGAAAAUCGAGGAAAUUUAUAUGAAGAAAGGUGUUUUAUUCUGAAUCAUUUUUAUGCGUUUCCAAAGAAAUUGGGCCAGCACAGUACUCUUUUGUACCACAGUCGGACUGAAAAGCUUUUACAAUUUUAGGGUUUUUGUUUUUUGGGGCUUCAUCUAUUCAUUUGUUGCGAUACUGCUGGAAUGUAAUCAAUUGUCGAUGUGAUAAUUCUUAUUGGGCUGUUGCUAAAUCAAUUGCCAGGAAUGUGUUAUUGAAAUUGCGUUAUCUUCUUAUAGAUACAUAAGAGAUGAUCUGCUUUGAAAAAAUUCUCAUGGGGCAUGUGUUAAAGGAAUUAAAUUCAUUGCAUUGCAUUUUGAUUUUAGUUUAUUUCUCCUUUUUGCUAGAGGAAAAGGUAAUUAAAAGUUAUUAUUUGUUGAGUUCGGUUGGGUGAUGAAUUUCAUUCAUAUGUCUUUUACCGAUUUUGGUUGGCAAGUAUUAGCUUAUAGGCUUUUUGUAUAUUGAAACAUGCUGGAUUUCACUUACCUUUACAAUGCUUGUGCAUUAUUUCUUAGGAGGUUGUUCUUGGUGCAUGUCUCACAGGUAUAGGGCCUUGCGAAAUUUGCUGGGCGUGGGUUUGGGUGGGUUCCAGCAAUGCCUCUGUUGAAGAAAAAGCCGUUCACUUUGUUGGAACCACCCAAGGAUUUGAAGCCUCAUGAACUUGUAUAUCAAGUUCGCUUCACGAAGGAGAUAUUUCGGGAUUAUCAGAUGUAUUUGAACCGAACAAAUUUAUAUCGGCAGAGAACUUGGAGUUGCAAAAUUAGUGGAAAAGCUAACUUGACUUUUGAAGAGGCUUUGGUGUCUGAAAAGCAUGUGGCAGAGAAGGUUCAAGAGAUACCCAAAGUGCUUGUGGCACCUGCAUUGCAUAUUAUACAAUAUA